AUUGAACGCUGGCGGCAUGCCUUACACAUGCAAGUCGAACGGCAGCACGGGGCAACCUGGUGGCGAGUGGCGAACGGGUGAGUAAUGCAUCGGAACGUGCCAUUGAGUGGGGGAUAACGUAGCGAAAGUUGCGCUAAUACCGCAUAUUCUGUGAGCAGGAAAGCAGGGGACCGCAAGGCCUUGCGCUCUUUGAGCGGCCGAUGUCAGAUUAGCUAGUUGGUGAGGUAACGGCUUACCAAGGCGACGAUCUGUAGCGAGUCUGAGAGGAUGAUCCGCCACACUGGAACUGAGACACGGUCCAGACUCCUACGGGAGGCAGCAGUGGGGAAUUUUGGACAAUGGGCGCAAGCCUGAUCCAGCCAUGCCGCGUGAGUGAAGAAGGCCU
rnacentral:rRNA from 1 species